GACGAACGCUGGCGGCGUGCUUAACACAUGCAAGUCGAACGCUGAAGCUCAGCUUUUGUUGGGUGGAUGAGUGGCGAACGGGUGAGUAACACGUGAGUAACCUGCCUCCUUCUUUGGGAUAACGCCCGGAAACGGGUGCUAAUACUGGAUAUUCACUGGUCUUCGCCUUGGGGUUGGUGGAAAGGGUUUUUCUGGUGGGGGAUGGGCUCGCGGCCUAUCCGCUUGUUGGUGGGGUGAUGGCCUACCAAGGCUUUGACGGGUAGACGGCCUGAGAGGGUGACCGGGCACAUUGGGACUGAGAUACGGCCCAGACUACUACGGGAGGCAGAAGUGGGGAAUAUUGCACAAUGGGCGCAAGACUGAUGCAGCGACGCCGCGUGAGGGAUGGAGGCCUUCGGGUUGUGAACCUCUUUCGCUAAUGGUCAAGCCGCAACAAUGGUUGUGGUGAGGGUAGUGGGUAAAGAAGCGCCGGCUAACUACGUG
rnacentral:rRNA from 1 species